GACGAACCGAGCGAACGUUGUUCGGAAUCACUGGGCUUAAAGGGCGCGUAGGCGGGUGCUCAAGUCCGUGGUGAAAUCCUCCGGCUCAACCGGAGAACUGCCUCGGAUACUGGGUGCCUCGAGGGUGGUAGGGGUAUGCGGAACUAUCGGUGGAGCGGUGAAAUGCGUUGAUAUCGAUAGGAACUCCGGUGGCGAAGGCGGCAUACUGGACCACCUCUGACGCUGAGGCGCGAAAGCCAGGGGAGCAAAACGGGG
rnacentral:rRNA from 1 species